rnacentral:rRNA from 1 species
UACAGAGGGGGGCAAGCGUUGUUCGGAAUUACUGGGCGUAAAGGGCGCGUAGGCGGCCCGCUAAGUCGAACGUGAAAUCCCCCGAGCUCAACUCGGGAACUGCGUCCGAUACUGGCGGGCUUGAAUCCGGGAGAGGGAUGCGGAAUUCCAGGUGUAGCGGUGAAAUGCGUAGAUAUCUGGAGGAACACCGGUGGCGAAGGCGGCAUCCUGGACCGGCAUUGACGCUGAGGCGCGAAAGCUAGGGGAGCAAACGGGG